rnacentral:tRNA from 1 species
AAUAAAGUGCCUGACAAAUAGGGUCAUUUUGAUAGAAUGAAAUAUGUAAAAUUUACCUUUAUUA